rnacentral:lncRNA from 1 species
CUUUGAAUAUUAUUAAGUGUUUGAAUUUCUUCCUGUGUCUUUUUCACCGAGAUGACUGUCUUUCUGUUUCGUUGACAGCCUCUGCAGGACCAAAUUGACAGCUCUUUAAAGGCGGCUGACGAAAAGCAGCAUUAAUUAAGUCAUUGCCGGACUGUAAUUGUGUUAAGAAGUAAAAAUCUAAUAUGAGAAAAGAAAAACAGAGAUGUGGUCUGCCUUCACACCUAUGUUCCUGCUUCGUGGACCAGGGCCUAGCACACAGCCCAUCCCCCCCAACGCCCAGCCUGUAGAGGAAGCUGACAAGAACAUGCUUAAUAGUGAAAAAAGAACUAAGAGAUUAGUAACUUGUCUGAGGUUACUAGCAAGUCUAGGAUCGCAACCUGGGACGUCUGCUUCUUGCUCCUAAGCACUGUAGCAUGCUGCUUCCACUACAUUCCUCACCGCCAAAAAUAUAAAAAAUAAAAAUAAAGCAAAAAGCA